rnacentral:lncRNA from 1 species
ACAUGUCACAUGCCAACUUUACUUCAUUUUUCUCCUCAGGGAAUAGAUACAUCUGGAAUCAUAAUCACAGAUAAAAACCUUGACAAAAUUGCACAUGAGCCCAGCCCUCCUCUCCAACACCUACCUUUUCAUAACAUUUAAUACAAUAUUAAUAUCAGUUACUAAAAAGGCUCCCAACCUUUACAUUCCUGACAUAACAUGUUCAAACCCAUAUUUCACACUUCUUGUUCUGUUUUAAGUUCAGUGGAUUUAACAGGACUCUGGAGAGAAGAUCAUGUGGUUGAAGAUUUCCCUCCCUCUUUGACACCCGUAGAGGCAGUUUUGGAAUUGUUUAAAUAGCUGUGGCUAUAUAAACUGAAAUAUGGACAACAUUGGACAUCUCACGCCUCGCUCACAUCUAUAGAUACAUACUUGUAUUUUUAGCUGAAAUCUAUUGCUUGUACCAGUGACAAACAAUUUCAGCACAACAUCUGGGCAAAAGAUUCGGAAUAUUUUCCUUUUAAACUGUAUUAUUCAUCUUCCCUGCAUAUUCCUGGUUUACCAGACAAAUACAAUUAGCUAAUAUUAUAGAAUAAUAUUAUUUGGUCUUUUUUAUCUAUGAUUGACAGUUUUUCAAAUCAAAAUAAAACACAUUCUUAGUCGAUCAUCUUCUUGGAAGUGCGCUGGUUUAAGCUCCGUUUGCUCCCAAGACAGUGAGAGAUCUUACUCGAUGAGGGGUAAACGGUGAAAUUAUAGAUCCCAUAGAUUCCAUGCUCUCCCCCAAAUGCUUGGCGUAGUUAAUAUUUAAUAGCUAAUUCCUGGACAGACAUUUUCACUGCGUGCUUUUAUAGAACAUUCAUCAGCUGCUAUUGCAAAGAACUGGAAUUUGAGAACUUUGCAAAUUUUCAUUUAUUAUUGUUUCUGUAAUUAAUAGCACACUGGACGUACCCCAGGCAGCUCACUGUAUGGCUUUGUUCAUGACAGAAUGGUGAUAGCAACCUCUUUUUGUUACAUAUUUAACAGCUUUGAAAGACUUUUUUUUUUAAACAGCAAAUGUACCAGACAGCUUUAAAGCAAAGGACAUUAAAUAGGUUGCCAAUUAUUCAUUCAGCAGCUUCUAUGUGCGUCAAAAAAAUGCAUACCACCAAAUUUCCCUGAGACAAACCACUUAAAUUUCCUGUGACUCAUACACCAUUUUUUCACUAACUGGAUAAGGAUAGCAAUCAUUUAGAAAAAGAAACAGAUAUCAAAUGUUUCUUGCCCUGGCAUACUGAAAAAAAAAAUCUUCAAACUAUGUUCAUUUACAGUUAGGGGAUAGCAUUUGUGACAAGAAGUGUCCUAUUUUUAAACUGAACAGUGUUCCUUAACACAUUCUUUCAUUAUUCUCUUUCACUUUAAAAUGACCCACAGUGUCUAACUCAGCAUAUAAUAAGUGCAAAAAGUGAUAUAUGAAUGGAGUACUAAUUCCCCUGAAUCGUUGCAAGUCAGUCCACAAAGCACCCGAACCCGAGGCGUGUGAGGCUGUCUCCGGCAGCUCAGGGAGAUGAAGAGCUGAGCUGAGCUCCACUUGCUGACAAGGAGCAAACUGUCUC